rnacentral:tRNA from 1 species
UCCCUGGUAGCCUAAUAGUUAGGAUUUGGCACUUUCACUGCUGUGGCCCAGGUUCAAUCCCUGGUCUGGGAG